rnacentral:rRNA from 1 species
GCAUAUCAAUAAGCGGAGGAAAAGAAACCAACAGGGAUUGCCCUAGUAACGGCGAGUGAAGCGGCAACAGCUCAAAUUUGAAAUCUGGCGCAAGCCCGAGUUGUAAUUUGUAGAGGAUGCUUCUAGGUAGCGACCGGUCUAAGUUCCUUGGAACAGGACGUCAUAGAGGGUGAGAAUCCCGUAUGUGACUGGCCCGCACCUUCUACGUAGCUCCUUCGACGAGUCGAGUUGUUUGGGAAUGCAGCUCUAAAUGGGAGGUAAAUUUCUUCUAAAGCUAAAUACCGGCCAGAGACCGAUAGCGCACAAGUAGAGUGAUCGAAAGAUGAAAAGCACUUUGGAAAGAGAGUUAAAAAGCACGUGAAAUUGUUGAAAGGGAAGCGCUCACAACCAGACUUCUGGGCGGUGUUCCGCCGGUCUUCUGACCGGUCUACUCACCGUCCCGAGGCCAACAUCAUCUGGGACCGCCGGAUAAGACCUCAGGAAUGUAGCUCCCCUCGGGGAGUGUUAUAGCCUGUGGUGAUGCGGCGCGUCUCGGGUGAGGUCCGCGCUUCGGCAAGGAUGUUGGCGUAAUGGUUGUCAGCGGCCCGUCUUGAAACACGGACCAAGGAGUCUAACAUCUAUGCGAGUGUUCGGGUGUCAAACCCCUACGCGUAAUGAAAGUGAACGGAGGUGGGAAGGGUAACCUGCACCAUCGACCGAUCCUGAUGUCCUCGGAUGGAUUUGAGUAAGAGCAUAGCUGUUGGGACCCGAAAGAUGGUGAACUAUGCCUGAAUAGGGUGAAGCCAGAGGAAACUCUGGUGGAGGCUCGCAGCGGUUCUGACGUGCAAAUCGAUCGUCAAAUUUGGGUAUAGGGGCGAAAGACUAAUCGAACCAUCUAGUAGCUGGUCCUG